GCGUACGAUCAUACUACGUUGAAAGCACCGCAUCUCGUCAGAUCUGCGAUGUUAAGGAACGUUAGGCUGAGCUAGUACUAUGGUUGGAGACAACGUUGGAACCCUCAGCGUCGAACGCC
rnacentral:rRNA from 1 species